AUUGAACGCUGGCGGCAGGCCUAACACAUGCAAGUCGAACGAGUGGCGGACGGGUGAGUACUGUGUUGGAAACUGCCUGAUGGAGGGGGAUAACUACUGGAAACGUUAGCUAAUACCGCAUACCAUCAGAUUUGCCCGGAUGGGAUUAGCUAGUUGGUGGGGUAACGGCUCACCAAGGCGAUGAUCCCUAGCUGGUAUGAGAGGAUGACCAGCCAAACGGGAACUGAGACACGGUCCAGACGCCUACGGAGGGAAGAAGUGGGGAAUAUUGCACAAUGGGGGCAAGCCUGAUGCAGCCAGGCCGCGUGGAUGAAGAAGGCCUUCGGGUUGUAAAGUACUUUCAGCGGGGAGGCGUUACCCGCAGAAGAAGCACCGGCUAACUCCGUGCCAGCAGCCGCGGUAAUAC
rnacentral:rRNA from 1 species